rnacentral:rRNA from 1 species
AUACGGAGGGUGCAAGCGUUGUUCGGAAUUACUGGGCGUAAAGCGCGCGUAGGCGGCUAUUUAAGUCAGGUGUGAAAGUCCACGGCUCAACCGUGGAAGUGCAUUUGAAGCUGGGUAGCUUGAGUACUGGAGGGGGUGGUGGAAUUCCCGGUGUAGAGGUGAAAUUCGUAGAUAUCGGGAGGAAUACCGGUGGCGAAGGCGACCACCUGGCCAGAUACUGACGCUGAGGUGCGAAAGCGUGGGGAGC